rnacentral:rRNA from 1 species
AAUGGGCGCAAGCCUGAUGCAGCCAUGCCGCGUGUAUGAAGAAGGCCUUCGGGUUGUAAAGUACUUUCAGCAGUGAGGAAGGUGGAUAUGUUAAUAGCAUAUUCAUUUGACGUUUAGCUGCAGAAGAAGCACCGGCUAACUCCGUGCCAGCAGCCGCGGUAAUACGGAGGGUGCGAGCGUUAAUCGGAAUUACUGGGCGUAAAGCGCAUGCAGGUGGUUUGUUAAGUCAGAUGUGAAAGCCCGGGGCUCAACCUCGGAAUUGCAUUUGAAAACUGGCAAACUAGAGUACUGUAGAGGGGGUAGAAUUUCAGGUGUAGCGGUGAAAUGCGUAGAGAUCUGAAGGAAUACCGGUGGCGAAGGCGGCCCCCUGGACAGAUACUGACACUCAGAUGCGAAAGCGUGGGGAGCAAACAGGAUUAGAUACCCUGGUAG